UAUAUGACCCUAUUGUCCCCAAGGGUAACAGUAUAUUUUGAUAUAAUAAAAAAACACUGUUACCCUUGGGGACAAUAGGGUCAUAUA
rnacentral:pre_miRNA from 1 species